CCCUUAGAUGUUCUGGGCCGCACGCGCGCUACACUGAUUCAUGCAACAAGUUUUGUCCUUGGCUGAUAGGCCUGGGUAAUCUUUGAACGUGAAUCGUGAUGGGGAUAGAUGAUUGCAAUUAUUCAUCUUCAACGAGGAAUUCCUAGUAAACGCAAGUCAUCAGCUUGCAUUGAUUACGUCCCUGCCCUUUGUACACACCGCCCGUCGCACCUACCGAUUGAAUGGUCCGGUGAAAUCUUCGGAUCUGAGAGGUGUCUGAUUAAUUUCGGACGCCUUUUGGAAAAGUUGUUUAAACCUUACCAUUUAGAGGAAGGUGAAGUCGUAACA
rnacentral:rRNA from 1 species